UACGGGGGGGGCAAGCGUUGUUCGGAAUUACUGGGCGUAAAGGGCUCGUAGGCGGCCAACUAAGUCGGAUGUGAAAUCCCCAAGCUUAACUUGGGAACUGCAUCCGAUACUGGAUGGCUUGAAUCCGGGAGAGGGAUGCAGAAUUCCAGGUGUAGCGGUGAAAUGCGUAGAUAUUGGGAAGAACACCGGUGGCGAAGGCGGCGCUCUGGACCGAGACUGACGCUGAGGAGCGAAAGCGUGGGGAGCGAAC
rnacentral:rRNA from 1 species